AACGAACGCUGGCGGCAGGCUUAACACAUGCAAGUCGAGCGCCCCGCAAGGGGAGCGGCAGACGGGUGAGUAACGCGUGGGAACCUACCCAUCUCUACGGAAUAACGCAUGGAAACGUGUGCUAAUACCGUAUACGUCCUUCGGGAGAAAGAUUUAUCGGAGAUGGAUGAGCCCGCGUUGGAUUAGCUAGUUGGUGGGGUAAAGGCCUACCAAGGCGACGAUCCAUAGCUGGUCUGAGAGAUGAUCAGCCACACUGGGACUGAGACACGGCCCAGACUCCUACGGGAGGCAGCAGUGGGGAAUAUUGGACAAUGGGCGCAAGCCUGAUCCAGCCAUGCCGCGUGAGUGAUGAAGGCCCUAGGGUUGUAAAGCUCUUUCACCGGUGAAGAUAAUGACGGUAACCGGAGAAGAAGCCCCGGCUAACUUCGUGCCAGCCGCCGCAGUAAUAC
rnacentral:rRNA from 1 species